UUCAACAGACCCAACAACGCAGUUCGAUCAAUGCUCCCUUUCGCCAGCAUGUCAUCUUCAAGAGUACAAUAAGCAUCAAGCGACCGCUCCUUGAUAUCCGCCAACAACGUGGUCGCAAUAGUGGUGUGCUUAUCAAUCAUCUUCUUCCGCUCAGUCAGCACCGGAAGCGAGUUCACUGCAUUCAUCAGGUGCUUCGUGUUACCAAUCAG
rnacentral:misc_RNA from 1 species